rnacentral:lncRNA from 1 species
GACGAAGAACAAAACGAGGAGAGACGACAAGAAGAAAGAAGAGGAAAACGGAAAACAAGGAAGAAGACGAAGAAGAAGAAGAAGAGGAAAAAGCAAAAGAAAUAAGAAGAAGAAGUAGUAGUAGUAGUAGUAGUAGUAGUAGUAGUAGUAGAAGAAGAAGAAGAAGAAGAAGAAGAAGAAGAAAAGGAAGAAGAAGAAGAAGAAGAAGAAAGGGAAGAAGAGGAAAAAAAUAAGAGGAGGAAGAAUAAAACGACACCUUGACACCCCGACACGACACCCCGAUAACCCAAGACGACGCCCCGACACCCCGACACGACGCCCUCACACGACAU